UACGUAGGGGGCAAGCGUUGUCCGGAUUUAUUGGGCGUAAAGCGUGUGCAGGCGGCUCAUUGCGCCCGGCGUGAAAGCCCCCGGCUCAACCGGGGAGAGUCGUCGGGGACGGGUGAGCUUGAGGGUAUCAGGGGCUGGUGGAAUUCCCGGUGUAGUGGUGAAAUGCGUAGAUAUCGGGAGGAACACCCGUGGCGAAGGCGGCCAGCUGGGAUCACACCUGGACGCUGAGACACGAAGGCGUGGGGAGCGAACGGG
rnacentral:rRNA from 1 species